UGGGGAAUCUUGGACAAUGGGGGCAACCCUGAUCCAGCCAUGCCGCGUGAGUGAUGAAGGCCCUAGGGUCGUAAAGCUCUUUCGCCUGUGAAGAUAAUGACUGUAGCAGGUAAAGAAACCCCGGCUAACUCCGUGCCAGCAGCCGCGGUAAUACGGAGGGGGUUAGCGUUGUUCGGAAUUACUGGGCGUAAAGCGCGCGUAGGCGGACUGGAAAGUUGGGGGUGAAAUCCCAGGGCUCAACCCUGGAACUGCCUCCAAAACUAUCAGUCUAGAGUUCGAGAGAGGUGAGUGGAAUUCCGAGUGUAGAGGUGAAAUUCGUAGAUAUUCGGAGGAACACCAGUGGCGAAGGCGGCUCACUGGCUCGAUACUGACGCUGAGGUGCGAAAGUGUGGGGAGCAAACAGG
rnacentral:rRNA from 1 species